AAGCAAACUUAAACCUAAAAUAAUAAAGACAUGACAUUUUAAGCAACUAUCAAAUUCCCCCACACUUAGCUUUGGGUUGUCCUCGAUCAAAACUAACUAAAACAAAAAAUAAUAACUAUAUCUAAUCUUCCCAUAAACAUCAAAAACAUACACAUCAUAAACAUGCACAAAACUAAGCUCUCAAAGUAUCAUAAAUAUUAUAAACAUAUUUAUUUAAUAAACAUUAGAACUUAACUUAAUAUAACAUUCUCAUCAAAAAGUUAAUUAAGCCAUAAUGAAGAUUCUCAUAUAGUAGAAUGAUCACUCUAUCUCUCAUUUGUUUAGGCAUUGCGUUUACUCUCAAAUUCAAUUCAAUGAAAAUGCAUUACUAUAAGCUUGCUUAUCUAUCUAAUCUCUGCUACUUUUGAU
rnacentral:misc_RNA from 1 species